rnacentral:rRNA from 1 species
GACGAACGCUGGCGGCGUGCUUAACACAUGCAAGUCGAACGGAAAGGCCCUGCUUUUGUGGGGUGCUCGAGUGGCGAACGGGUGAGUAACACGUGAGUAACCUGCCCUUGACUUUGGGAUAACUUCAGGAAACUGGGGCUAAUACCGGAUAGGAGCUCCUGCUGCAUGGUGGGGGUUGGAAAGUUUCGGCGGUUGGGGAUGGACUCGCGGCUUAUCAGCUUGUUGGUGGGGUAGUGGCUUACCAAGGCUUUGACGGGUAGCCGGCCUGAGAGGGUGACCGGCCACAUUGGGACUGAGAUACGGCCCAGACUCAUACGGGAGGCAGGAGUGGGGAAGAUUGCACAAUGGGCGGAAGCCUGAUGCAGCAACGCCGCGUGCGGGAUGACGGCCUUCGGGUUGUAAACCGCUUUCGCCUGUGACGAAGCGUGAGUGACGGUAAUGGGUAAAGAAGCACCGGCUAACUACGUG